rnacentral:rRNA from 1 species
GAUGAACGCUGGCGGCGUGCCUAAUACAUGCAAGUCGAGCGAACAGACGAGGAGCUUGCUCCUUCGACGUUAGCGGCGGACGGGUGAGUAACACGUAGGUAACCUACCUAUAAGACUGGGAUAACUUCGGGAAACCGGAGCUAAUACCGGAUAAUAUUUCGAACCGCAUGGUUCGAUAGUGAAAGAUGGCUUUGCUAUCACUUAUAGCUGGACCUGCGCCGUAUUAGCUAGUUGGUAAGGUAACGGCUUACCAAGGCAACGAUACGUAGCCGACCUGAGAGGGUGAUAGGCCACACUGGAACUGAGACACGGUCAAGACUCCUACGGGAGGCAGCAGUAGGGAAUCUGCCGCAAUGGGCGAAAGCCUGACGGAGCAACGCCGCGUGAGUGAUGAAGGUCUUCGGAUCGUAAAACUCUGUUAUUAGGGAAGAACAAACGUGUAAGUAACUGUGCACGUCUUGACGGUACCUAAUCAGAAAGCCACGGCUAACUACGUG